CGCCGGUUGCCGACCACCCCCGGCCUCGCCGCCCUUGUGUCGUCCCAGCCUCACCACCCUUCUGCCAUCGCUGCCUCACAACCCUGGCCUCGUCGCCUCGCGCGUCUCCGGCCUGCCGCGUCGCCCAUCCGGGUUACCAGAUGGCCGCGCCACCCCGCUGCACGAGCGCCGAGUCGCCCCUCUGCUCCGGCCCGUCCAGGCAGUCUGGCGAGGGAUUUUUGGAGAAGAAGGAAAAAAAAAGUUAAAAUAAAAGGCAAGUUUCACUGACGAGUAGGGUCCACAUGUCAUGAAGGAAAUAGGGGCUGUGGAAUAGGG
rnacentral:lncRNA from 1 species